rnacentral:rRNA from 1 species
UAGUAAUCGUGGAUCAGAAUGCCACGGUGAAUACGUUCCCGGGCCUUGUACACACCGCCCGUCACACCAUGGGAGUGGGUUGCAAAAGAAGUAGGUAGCUUAACCUUCGGGAGGGCGCUUACCACUUUGUGAUUCAUGACUGGGGUGAAGUCGUAACAAGGUAACCGUAGGGGAACCUGCGGUUGGAUCACCUCCUUA